rnacentral:rRNA from 1 species
GGCAGACGGGUGAGUAACGCGUGGGAAUCUACCUAGUUCUACGGAACAACUGAGGGAAACUUCAGCUAAUACCGUAUACGCCCUACGGGGGAAAGAUUUAUCGGAAUUAGAUGAGCCCGCGUAAGAUUAGCUAGUUGGUGGGGUAAUGGCCUACCAAGGCGACGAUCUUUAGCUGGUCUGAGAGGAUGAUCAGCCACACUGGGACUGAGACACGGCCCAGACUCCUACGGGAGGCAGCAGUGGGGAAUAUUGGACAAUGGGCGCAAGCCUGAUCCAGCCAUGCCGCGUGAGUGAUGAAGGCCUUAGGGUUGUAAAGCUCUUUCAGUGGGGAAGAUAAUGACGGUACCCACAGAAGAAGCCCCGGCUAACUUCGUGCCAGCAGCCGCGGUAAUACGAAGGGGGCUAGCGUUGUUCGGAUUUACUGGGCGUAAAGCGCACGUAGGCGGGUUGUUAAGUCAGAGGUGAAAUCCUGGAGCUCAACUCCAGAACUGCCUUUGAUACUGGCAAUCUAGAGUCCGGAAGAGGUGAGUGGAACUCCUAGUGUAGAGGUGGAAUUCGUAGAUAUUAGGAAGAACACCAGUGGCGAAGGCGGCUCACU